GCUGGGCGUGGUGGUGCACGCCUGUAAUCCCAACUACUCAGGAGGCUGAGGCAGGAGAGUUGCUUGAACCCAGGAAGUAGGGGUUGCAGUGAGCUGAGAUUGAGCCACUGCACUCAAGCCUGGGUGACAGAGCGAGACUUUGUCUCAA
ensembl:misc_RNA Metazoa_SRP Metazoan signal recognition particle RNA